rnacentral:rRNA from 1 species
GAGUUUGAUCAUGGCUCAGAGUGAACGCUGGCGGUAGGCCUAACACAUGCAAGUCGAACGGCAGCACAGUAAGAGCUUGCUCUUAUGGGUGGCGAGUGGCGGACGGGUGAGGAAUACAUCGGAAUCUACUUUUUCGUGGGGGAGUAACGUAGGGAACUUACGCUAAUACCGCAUACGACCUACGGGUGAAGCAGGGGAUCUUCGGACCUUGCGCGAUUGAAUGAGCCGAUGUCGGAUUAGCUAGUUGGCGGGGUAAAGGCCCACCAAGGCGACGAUCCGUAGCUGGUCUGAGAGGAUGAUCAGCCACACUGGAACUGAGACACGGUCCAGACUCCUACGGGAGGCAGCAGUGGGGAAUAUUGGACAAUGGGCGCAAGCCUGAUCCAGCCAUACCGCGUGGGUGAAGAAGGCCUUCGGUUGUAA